GGAUAGCUCAGGUGGUUAGAGCAUGGUGCUGAUAACACUGAGGUUGCAGGUUUGAUUCCUGAUUGGGACCA